AGCCAGUCGACAUCCCGUUGAGCCGCUGCCGCCUCUACUAGUGUUUCUCCUCCCCCCAAAAUGGCGGCCCCCAAGCCUGGGGAGGAGGCAUCGAUUGCUCGGCGCUCGGCCCACCUCGCAGAGGAGAUGCGAAAUUGGCUGAGAGCAGAUGAGAGGCGGGACGGACUUCGAGGAAGCGGAGGGCAGGGAAACUGGUGGAGCUCCGCAUCAUCCAGCGAGCGCGGGCUGUAGGUUGGGGCCCAGCUGCUUCCGGAGAAGAAGCCGGUCUACCCGUCAAGGGCUGUAAGCAGGUGCGGCUCCUAACUUCUCCGCUGGCCGUUACCUUCCCGGCUGCCAGCGCCGCGUUUCCAAAGGGCCAGGAAAGACCGGGCAGCAGCAGAGACGGAUAGAGGAGCGGUUUCAAUUUGCCUUUAACGACCCUUUAGUAGUUCGUGAAGUCAGCUUAACUGGUUUCUACCUGGAAGGUCUACAAUUUUUGUUUUAUAUGAAAUAGAGUGAGAAAUUUCAGGAACCUCUCAGAGAGUCGAAGUGAAGAGGAGCAGCAUACAUCACCCCAAAAGGUAUCUCUUGGCAUAUGUGGAUUAUUCUAAGCUGAAGGCAAUCAAGACCCAGCAGAUUGAAGGAAAACUUUUUUUCAUAGCUGUCUGAAACAUUGUAAAUAGGGAGCCCGGCCCAGACAGAGGGUUAUUACCAGAGAUGACUUCUCUAUCUGAAAGACUUGUGUUUGGCAAGCUAAACUCGUCUCAUCUUCCAGUGACUUGUCUUCCUCUUUUUGAAGUCCCAGGCCCCUACCUGUGUCUCCUUAGCUGAAGAGGACACAGCCUUAUAUUAGCCUCAAUUUCCUGACUGAUUAUGAGUGUCAUUGUCUCUGAGGGGCUCUUGUACAUAUAUAUUUAAAUGUGUUUUUCUCCUGUUAUUCUGUCUUAUUUAAUAAUUAUUAGACCAACGCAAGAACCUAGAAGUUUUUUCACCCCUACAAGAAAUAUAUAGAAUUAAUAAAUGUUUUCUUUUAAAA